rnacentral:rRNA from 1 species
AUUGAACGCUGGCGGCAGGCUUAACACAUGCAAGUCGAGCGGGGGGAGGUAGCUUGCUACCGGACCUAGCGGCGGACGGGUGAGUAAUGCUUAGGAAUCUGCCUAUUAGUGGGGGACAACAUCUCGAAAGGGAUGCUAAUACCGCAUACGUCCUACGGGAGAAAGCAGGGGAUCUUCGGACCUUGCGCUAAUAGAUGAGCCUAAAUCGGAUUAGCUAGUUGGUGGGGUAAAGGCCUACCAAGGCGACGAUCUGUAGCGGGUCUGAGAGGAUGAUCCGCCACACUGGGACAGAGACACGGCCCAGACUCCUACGGGAGGCAGCAGUGGGGAAUAGUGGACAAUGGGGGGAACCCUGAUCCAGCCAUGCCGCGUGUGGGAAGAAGGCCUUAUGGUUGUAAAGCACUUUAAGCGAGGAGGAGGCUACUUUAGUUAAUACCUAGAGAUAGUGGACGUUACUCGCAGAAUAAGCACCGGCUAACUCUGUGCCAGCCGCCGCGGUAA